CCUACGGGCGACAGCAGUGAGGAAUAUUGGUCAAUGGGCGGGAGCCUGAACCAGCCAAGCCGCGUGAGGGAAGAAGGUACAGCGUAUCGUAAACCUCUUUUGUCAGGGAACAAAGGCGGGGACUAGUCCCCGGAUGAGGGUACCUGACGAAAAAGCAUCGGCUAACUCCGCGCCAGCCGCCGCGGUAAUACGGGGGAUGCGAGCGUUAUCCGGAUUUAUUGGGUUUAAAGGGUGCGCAGGCGGCCUGUUAAGUCAGCGGUAAAAUUGAGGGGCUCAACCCCUUCCCGCCAUUGAAACUGGCGCGCUUGAGUGGAAGAGAGGUAUGCGGAAUGCGUGGUGUAGCGGUGAAAUGCAUAGAUAUCACGCAGAACCCCGAUUGCGAAGGCAGCAUGCCGGCUUCCUACUGACGCUGAAGCACGAAAGCGUGGGGAUCGAACAGGAUUAGAUACCCGGGUAGUC
rnacentral:rRNA from 1 species